CUCUUGCAAUUCGGCCCGCAUCAAAUGCGGGAAAGAUGUUCUGGUCGGCUGCCUCGCUAAAAGCCCCACUCCGUGCUACGCUGACGGUGGUACUGGACCUGGAUAAGCGAAUAUCUAUCAUAGUGUCGGCGUGCAUCGCCAUCUUCUACACAUUCUUCGGAGGUCUCUACUCCGUCGCCUACACCGACGUCGUUCAGCUCAUCUGCAUAUUUGUCGGUCUGUGGAUCACGGAGUCGUACGUGCU